CUGUUAUCCGAGGAUGUCCGAAUGUGGGAACCCCGCCGCAUGCGAGUGCGGUGACCCGCAUCUGAAUAUAUAGGGUGUGUGGAGGGAACGCGGGGAAGUGAAACAUCUCAGUACCCGUAGGAAGAGAAAACAAUAGUGAUUCCGAGAGUAGUGGCGAGCGAAAUCGGAUGAGGCUAAACCAUGCACGUGUGAUACCCGGCAGGGGUUGCGUGUGUGGGGUUGUGGGAUUGUCUGU
rnacentral:rRNA from 1 species